rnacentral:lncRNA from 1 species
GUCUUGUCCCUUAGAUCUUUCCUAGGGAUAAUUGUGUCGAGUGUGUGUUGCCGACAGCAGGUGUGAAACCCGCCCAUGCUAGGCAUGUUGAGGGGUGAUUAGUGUUUCCUCACCCUCGUACCCAGCGGGUUCAAGGAAACUCCUUAUUCGCUGGAUCGGGAAGACUCAGAUAGACGGGAUCAUGGCCUAUGGCUGAGUGAUUACACGACGGUGUAAUG